rnacentral:lncRNA from 1 species
UUAAUCCCCACACCCCCAAAUAUAGACCUAAUAUCUCCCAAAAACCGUAAGCCCCAAAUUCCCACAGCCGCCACCCCAGCUGCCCGCGUCUCCCAUCCUCCAAACUCGCCGGAACUCCUCCCAGUCUCAUCAUUCCAAUCCGAUUUUCACGGAUUUAUUCUUUUAUGUCUUAUGUUUAAGCAUAAAAUCUGAGUCCUUGAAAUAAAGGUUGGAAAAUGGGAGCCAUUGGAUAAAUUUUUGAUCCAAGACUUUCAUUUUUUUAUUUUUGUUAAAAUAAGGAUUUUCGGAUUUGUUUGGGGGUCCACACGGAUUUCUGAGGAUUGUCGAUUUUCUUGGAGAGGAAGCAAGAAGAAGCUUCUAGGAUUCUUAUAUAUUUGGGGUUUUCGGACAGAAUUGGGGGAGAGAGAAAAAAGGAGGAGAAAAAUUGGGAUAGAAAAGAGAUUAGGGUUCGAACAAAGGUUGCUACUUUUCUUCUCAUUUUUGGUCGAUUUUUAGAUGAGUCCGAAUUCCAGAAAAACAAAACAAAAAAAUACAAAGUAGUUCGAGUUUCAUUUUUGUUCAGUCCUUAUUUCAUUUCGACAAAAAUCAGAAAAUUUCCAAAACAAUAGUUCUGUUUCUUCUUCCAGAUUUGUUGUUUUGACAUGGAGGUUGAUUGAGCCGAAGUCGAGUUCGCCGUCCGAGUUCUUAGUUGCUGGUUCGAUUCCUGCUGCUGCUGUGUUGCUUGUUCAUUUCAAAACUUCAUUGGAAAGUCAGCUUGUAAUCGCAUACAUUCAAAUUCAAUCAAAAGCUUUCAACAUUCAGGUUCAUCUCCUUACUCUUUUGGGUCCUGUUUGGUGUCCGAUCGAAUUCACAUGUUAGUAGAGUCGAAUUUUUGCUGGUUUUGAAUAUUGAUAGAUUGCGGAUGAAUUCUCUUUGAUAUGGAUAUGUUCUGUUUGUCUUUGUGUUAGAAGUAUGUUUUAACUUCGAAUCUGUCUGCCUCCUAUUACUGAAGCAUUGAUUACGUGGUUUCAAGGAAUCGAAAUAGCUUAGCUAAUUCCUUGUAUAGUUCCCUGAAUCGAAUAACUUGUUUGGUGGAGUUUUGAAAUUUGUGAGUUCGUUGAAUGUUCUGCAGCCUUCAUCUCGAUUUGUCUGGUCUGGCUUGUCGUCGCAUUGCGCAAUUGUUCAUAGUUCCAUUGCUGUUGCUGAUACUCAGUAAUUGGUAUUUUUAUGGGUGAUUAUCAAUAGCCUUUGUUCGUAUAUAUAGGAUCACACAGGACGUUAGUUUGAUAACCUGCAGGGAGUUCUUGUAUUUCAUUUAGGAUUCAAGUAUGAGUUUAGCAUUUUAGUUUGCGCAUCAUAUUCAAGCAAAUCUGCCCCUGUCCAGAAUACAUGACCAUUUGUGCUUUGUUUCUUCAACUAGAGAUGGAUUAGUCAAUUGGUUAAGGCUUAAAUGACUAGUUCAGUGUUAUAGGGAGUUAUUUCAGAUCUGAAUGCCUAGCUUCAACAUGUUCGAUUUGAAUUGGUUAAUCAUCAGCUUAUUAAGCAAAAUAUGAACAGGUGACUGAUAGAUGCAUAUUUGUUGGUCUGAGGUCACUGAACUCCUCCAUGACUUUCUUUGUUUGAUGAUUGCCCAGUUAAGUCUAUUAAGGUUCUAAAAUAAAUCUUCAACUUGUAGCUUCGAAAUGCCCCGAAGGAUUUGUACAUAUUUUUAUCUGGGGUAUGCCCUGUAGUAUUUGUAUUCAGAUACCGAAAAAUAGAAAAUUGUAGUAUUUUUAUUUUAUUUUCAUUUUUCCUUUUUCUUUCAUUAGGUGGAGACGACCUCGAGUCUCUCGUUUGAUUAUUUUUCAUUUUCUGUGUUUUCUAUCUCAAUUGAAUAUUUUAAAAGGCAACUUGAUCGAGUAUGCAACCGUGGCCUUUACGGGACUUGGGGAGUGCGUAACACCUUCUCCCCGAGUCAAAUGAACCUUCUUACCCUAAUCUCUGGUGCAGAUAUAGUUUUAGAGUCCAAAAGUGUUUUAAAGGAAAAUAAUUUUAAAAAACGGUGACCUUGCACACCGAGAUCAAAUGUCAGGUGGCGACUCUGAGUUUAAUUCCUUUUGAAAUACAAUUUUUGUCACUUUCAAUUUGAAAACCCUUCUCAAGCUUUAUUUAAAUCUUUUUAUUUAUUUAAGAGGAUUGAGUGGAGUUUUGUUAAAAAAAGGGGUGUGACAAUACACACCAACAAAAACUUAGUCUAAUUUUAUGAGUGAAAUCUGGUCUUUCGAGGACUUCUUAGGGUUACUUAUUGUGAUGAUCCAAUUGGUCAUUUUUAAUUUUAAUCCUUAUUUAUGUGUUUCGAAACCUCGAAUAGUUUCGUUUAGCCUUCCUCGAUCUGUGUGAGAAGUCUGUGUCUUUUUUCGAAAAAUUUUAUGUGAAAAAUCUAUGAAAAAGUGUAAUUUAGUCUUAAAAUUCAUUUGAGUUGACUACGAUCAAAGUUUUUGUAAUGGAUCCGGAUUAGUAUUUUGAUGGUCCCGAUGGGUUCGUGUCUUGGGACUUGGGCGUAUGGCAGAAAUUGAAAUCAGAAGUCUUUAACUUGAUUUAACAUGAUUUGUCGAAAUCUAGUAAUUUGAAGGUUUAAUGAAUUUCUAAGUUUGACCAUAGGUUGACUUUGUUUCUAUCGGAUACAGAUUUCAGUUCUGAAACUUGGUAUCGGUUUAUUUCAGUAUUUAUUACUUUUUUUGUAAAUUUUGGUGCAAAACAGAGUUGAUUUGAUGUGAUUUGGACGUCCGGUUGUUGAAUUGAAAGUUCUUUUGAAAAUUUUGAGGUCUCAAGCCCGAGAAAUGAAUUUUUAAGUAAAAUUGUUUUAUGAAAAUGUUUAUGGAAUUUGAAAUAAAAUAUGAUUAGAAAGCGAUGGUAUCGGUCCUGUAAUUUGGUUCUGGUACCCGGUAUAGGUCUUAUAUAUGGUUUAAGUCAUUUUUGUAAAAUUUGGUGAAAAACAAAUGCCGUUUGACGUGAUUCAAACCUAAAUUGCUAAAAUUGAUACUUGAUGAAGUUUGAGAAAAGUUCUUGAUUUUGAAGUUUGAGUCAUUGUUUUUAGGUUAUUUUAGCGAUCUAAUCGCACAAAUAUGUUCGUAUGAUGUUUUUUAGUUAGUAUGUAUGUUUGGUUAGGAGCCCUGAGUCCUCGGGUGUGUUUCGGAUAAAUUUCAGGAAGUUUUGAGUUUAAGAAAAGUUGCAGAUUUUCUGCAGUCAGUGCCCAGGGAUUUUACCCUUAGCGUUCGCGUGGUCCCUUUCGCGAACGCGUAAGGAAAAUAUUCCAGUCCCUAAAUUCUUCUUCGCGAAUGCGAAGGUUGUGUCACAAAUGUGAAGGUGAGAGGGGAGACCCUUCGCGAACGUGUCCCUCCAAUCGCUAAUGUGUAAGGUUGAGGGGAGGGGUCACUAGCUUGUGCAUUACGAACGCAACCCUUGGUCCACUAACGUUUAGGCUUGAGGAGCUAAAGCUCCGCGAACGCGAGCCACAAUCUGCGAACGCGAAGGUCUUGAAGGCCUAACCCAUCGCGAUUGCGAAGGGUGUGUCGCGAUCACGAAGAACACUUUUUCCCAAUUAUUCUUAAGUCUCGAAAGAGACCCAUUUUAGAAUUUUACCAAAAUUUCACAAACUCUUUCUUCUCCAAAGUUUUUAGGUGAUUUUUGAAGCAUUCUUUCACCACAAUCUCUUGGGGUAUGUAAUCUUUAACUUGUUUUCUUCUAUUUUCAUCAAUAUCUAUUAGAUUUCUAGGCCUAAAAUAUGUGAUUAAGGGUAGAAAUUAGGAAUUUGGGUAGAAUUAGGGCUUUUUGAUUAAUUGUGAUUUAUACCUCAUUUUGGGGCCGAAUUUGAAAAUAAAUUAUAUAUUCGGACUCGUGGAUGAAUGGGUUAUUUGAUUUUGGUCUGAACCUCGUGUUUUGACCAAGCGGGCCUGCGGUCGAUUUUUUUAUAUUUGGGAAGAAUGAUUAGGAAUUUAUAAUUAAGCAUUGGAAUUGCAUUGUUUAUCAUUUACUGAUGUUAUUAAGUCAAUUAUGUAUAGAUUCGAUUGGGUUGGAAUCGAAUUUUAAAGAAAAAGUGGUGUUUGAGGCUUGAGUUGGCCGUGGAAGUUCGAGGUAAGUGUUUGGUCUAACCUUAGCUUGAGGGAUUAGGAGCCAAGUCCUAUUUGCUACGUGAUUAUUGUUGAUUAUUAUGUACAUGCAUGGUGACUAGUAUCUAUACAUUGGUUUCUAGCAUGACCGUGAGCCUUAUAUUGUGAUUUUCAUAAUUUCGUUGAAUCACCUGUGCUUUGAAAGUGAUUUCUAUUUGUGGUGAAAAGUUGAGGAAGUAAUUGUGACUGUUAUACAUCGAGGAGCAUUGGCUCAAGUUAAAUUACAAAUUGUGAAAGUAUAUGAGACGAUUGAACCCUUUGGAUCAUUGACUCAAGUGGUAAAGUGAGUUAUGAAGUAAAAAUGAAAGAAAGAGAAAGAGUUACUAAAUUGUUCCCUUGCCAGGAUGUUUGCUGAUUAGUUGAUUAUCUCCCUUGUCAGGAUGCUGAGUUAUUGGUGUUGUUCCCUUGCUCGGAGUUAAUUGUUUAAUUUUGUUCCCUUACCGGGAUUUCUAUUAUUAUUUGUUUACUCCCUUACCCCUUUGUUUGUAAUUGUUGUUUGGGUGAGGAAGAGUGUUAAUUCACGAAAGGUGAUAACAUACAUUGUUUGCUAUUGUGAGGAAUAAGUGUUAAAGCACGAAGGGUGAUGUCGUGCAUUGUUUGCUAUUGUGAAAAGAGUGUAAAGCAUGAAGGGUGAUGCAGUGUCAUACGAUGUACCAUUUCGUACCGAUUUUCAUUGAUUAUAUGGUGAGGAAAGAGAGUAAAAGCAUAAAAGAUGAUGUCGUGCACAUUGUUGUGAUAUGAUUAAUUUGGUGAGUACAAGAGUAAAAGCACGAAGGGUGAUGCCGUGCACACUUUUUUUAUAAAAUUUCUUUGGUAAGGACGAGAGUAAAAGCACGAAGGGUGAUGCCAUGAAAAAAUCGUUGAUUUCUGAUUCUUGUUGGUAUCAUAGUUAUGUUGUUUCUUUCCUUACUGAUGCUUUCUAUUCGGAACACAACAUGCUUCCCCCUCCCACAUUAACUGGUUAUUUUAUUUAUUUUAUUUUUCAGAAGGAUGUUUCACAAAGGUGNNNNNNNNNNNNNNNNNNNNNNNNNNUAUAUAUAUAUAUAUAUAUAUAUGUAUGUAUGUAUAUAUAUAACUUCACAGGUUUAUUUGGUAGUGUUAUCCUAGCCUCGUCACUACUUUGCCGAGGUUAGGCGAGACGCUUGCCAGCACAUGGGGUCGGUUGUGCAGAUACUACACUGUACAAUGUGUGCAGAUGCAGGAGCAUCUUUCGGACAGUAGUUGGAGGGCUUCCUUAAGUCCAUCCGGAGACCCAAGGUAGACCUGCAGGCUUCCACAGGACCUUGCGUACCCCUCUAUCCCUUUUCUCUGUUUCAUUUUCUUUUGUUCUGAAACAGUAUAUUGUAUUUUCUUAAGACCUAGGUUGUAGUAACUCUUAGACUAUCUGUGAUACUGUGACAUCAGAUUUUGGGGUAUUGCGAUUUUAAAAGUUGCAAUAAACGUAGCCUUAAGUUAUAUAAUUAUUGACUUCCGCUUUAUUUCUUAAACUUGUGCUUUUAUUAUGUUGUCACCUUGUGCUUGUUAAAAGAAGCAAUAUGAAAGUGUAGCGGAUAGUUAAGAUUUGGCUUGCCUAGCUCCCAUUAAUUAGACGUCAUCGCGAUUCCCGAGGGUAGAAAAUCCAUGUCAUGACAGAAGCGAGGAUCACUUCGCCAGAUCGGGACCGGAGCAGAAAACUUCAGCUUCUUCCAUCCGAAUUAGGAGAAGCCCAAUUCUCCCCAACAAACCUAUAGUGGCUAUAAAUAUAUCAAAAAAAUGCGCUUUAGCCAUGAUACACUACUUUGAAAGGAGAGAAGACUUUGGGAACAUUAUUUGGAUGCAAGAACAUUACGUGGAACAACUUUUUGAGGAGAAAAUCAUAGAGUUCUUCAUUUUUUCCUCUUUUCUUUGUAACUUGUUUAUGCAAAAUACUUGCAAAAGUGUUACUACGAACAUAAGCAGUUAAGCACUCGAGUUUCUAGGGUUGUGAUUGACAUGAUUAUUAACGUUUAUUAAUUACAUCUUCGUUAAUUCAGAUUAUCAUCUUGUGAUUGUUUCCUUAAUUCUAGUUUUAACUUGUGAAUUGUUGUAGCUGCCAAUUCAUCCUGGUAUCUAUGCUAUGCUUAGGAAAGUCGCGUUUAGAUUAGAGUAGAAUUAGAGAGAGUUUGUUUAUGAACUCGUGGCUCGGGAAAAGAUUUCGUUGUUAGGAUAGAAAUAUACCUAACAAUCUUGCUUAGCUGAAUACCGUAUUAUAAUCGUUCAUGAUAGACUCAGUACCAUAGAAAUGAUUGAUAUAUUGUAGUUAGGCGAAUAGUAUUGAGGAAACAUGCUAUUUAUAUAAAUGAUCUGGUCAAUUAGCAAUCAUUGAUAAUAUGGAUUAACUAGUGUGGUUACUGAACUUAAUAGGAUUGAUAAACCGACCACAAUCUUGGAAUCUUCUAUCUUCUUUUAGUAAAAUCUAAAAACACACGUUUGCAUCCUUGAUAAAUUAGUUAAUUACUU